AGGCUACCUCAUAUUGCAAAGGAGUAUUCUGCUCGAAACUAACUAGGAGACAGGAGGCCCUUUGCAAGGAUGGAACUUGCCCCCCAGGGAUGACAGGCUGAGAAUGCAGCAGGAGACAAAGGAAGGGCUGCAGAGCAGAUUUCAGUUGUGAGUGCUUCAAGGCCCCUGCAGCAUCACAGCAAGGACAUGGCAGACUUGUGGUAUUCCCUGCAUGAUGCUGCUUUGUUUCGGUUGAAGAGGUGACACUUCCCUGGAUCAAGCCUGUAAAUAAGAAUGGAG